ACAAGCGGUGGAUGAUGUGGAUUAAUUCGAUGCAACGCGAAAACCUUACCUACCCUUGACAUGUCUGGAACCUUGCUGAGAGGCGAGGGUGCCUUCGGGAGCCAGAACACAGGUGCUGCAUGGCUGUCGUCAGCUCGUGUCGUGAGAUGUUGGGUUAAGUCCCGCAACGAGCGCAACCCUUGUCAUUAGUUGCCAUCAUUUAGUUGGGCACUCUAAUGAGACUGCCGGUGACAAACCGGAGGAAGGUGGGGAUGACGUCAAGUCCUCAUGGCCCUUAUGGGUAGGGCUUCACACGUCAUACAAUGGUCGGUACAGAGGGUUGCCAAGCCGCGAGGUGGAGCCAAUCCCUUAAAGCCGAUCGUAGUCCGGAUCGUAGUCUGCAACUCGACUACGUGAAGUCGGAAUCGCUAGUAAUCGCAGAUCAGCACGCUGCGGUGAAUACGUUCCCGGGCCUU
rnacentral:rRNA from 1 species